CCUACGGGAGGCAGCAGUGAGGAAUAUUGGUCAAUGGACGAGAGUCUGAACCAGCCAAGUAGCGUGAAGGAUGACUGCCCUAUGGGUUGUAAACUUCUUUUAUAUGGGAAUAAAACGUUCCACGUGUGGGAUUUUGUAUGUACCAUAUGAAUAAGGAUCGGCUAACUCCGUGCCAGCAGCCGCGGUAAUACGGAGGAUCCGAGCGUUAUCCGGAUUUAUUGGGUUUAAAGGGAGCGUAGGUGGAUUGUUAAGUCAGUUGUGAAAGUUUGCGGCUCAACCGUAAAAUUGCAGUUGAAACUGGCAGUCUUGAGUACAGUAGAGGUGGGCGGAAUUCGUGGUGUAGCGGUGAAAUGCUUAGAUAUCACGAAGAACUCCGAUUGCGAAGGCAGUUCACUGGACUGAAACUGACACUGAGGCUCGAAAGUGUGGGUAUCAAACAGGAUUAGAUACCCGAGUAGUC
rnacentral:rRNA from 1 species